rnacentral:rRNA from 1 species
GAGAGAGGGAGCCCAGAGAUGGAAUCUGAGACACGAUUCCAGGCCCUACGGGGCGCAGCAGUCGCGAAAACUUCACAAUGGAGGCAACUCCGAUGAGGGAAUUCCAAGUGCUAGCACAUUAGUGUUAGCUUUUCUUAAGUAUAGAUAGCUUAGGGAAUAAGGGCUGGGUAAGACGGGUGCCAGCCGCCGCGGUAAUACCCGCAGCCCGAGUGGUGGUCGAUUUUAUUGAGUCUAAAACGUUCGUAGCCGGUUCAUUAAAUCUUUGGGUAAAUCGGGUGGCUUAACUAUCCGAAUUCCGAGGAGACUGGUGAACUUGGGACCGGGAGAGGCAAGAGGUACUUUUGGGGUAGGGGUAAAAUCCUGUAAUCCUGAAAGGACCACCGGUGGCGAAGGCGUCUUGCUAGAACGGAUCCGACGGUGAGGGACGAAGCCCUGGGUCGCAAACGGGAUUAGAUACCCCGGUAGUCCAGGGUGUAAACGCUGCAGACUUGGUGUUGGAGACCCUUCGGGGGUGUUCAGUGCCGGAGAGAAGUUGUUAAGUCUGCUACUUGGGGAGUACGUCCGCAAGGAUGAAACUUAAAGGAAUUGGCGGGGGAGCACCGCAACGGGA